GCCUCGGUAGCUCAACGAUAGAGCAUAAGAUUCUUACAGUCCCUCUGACCGGGUAAGACUCUGAAGGCUGUGGGUUCGACUCCUGCCUGAGGCA